CCUCAUCCGCUUCCGGUGACGUUGUCAUGGAGUCAUGUUGCGGUAAACAUGGAAUAUAGACAACAACUAUGCGAUGUGCUCGGUUUCCCUUGAAACGAGGCUUUUUGAUGAGUAGUUUUGUUUAUGUCACGCAUGUGAAAAAGCAGACUGUGUCUAGUUUAACAAAUUGGCGAUGUUUACUAACUAGUCAAGAUGUGGAGUCGUGGAGGAAGGAGUUCAGCUCUGGAGCGGGCGAAGGCUCAGCUCUCUGGACGGAGAAUCUCCAACAAUGGGCUUUCAAGAGAUGUGGAGAACUCUGGAAAAUUCGUGUCACCAUCCAGACAGAUGCAAUUCCAGGAUUUGAGCGAAGUCUUUUCGCCAUCAGAAAGUGAAAACCAGGACCCUGUGAAGACUACGGCAUUGGAGAGUUUCGGCAUGGGUGGAGGGAGCCGAUUUCUGAAGAAGACCUCCAAAGAUGCCACUGGAGACAGAGUGUCAUCUACUCCUCGAAAAACUCCUGCAGGAACGUUCAUACCUCAACGCAGUUCACAAAGCGCAGCUUUGAGUAGGCUAGCGCUCAUCGAGAACCGCAUCAGAAACCAGAAAACCAAAAGUGACGGCGCUAGUAUCCAUGCAAACCUCUCAGAACCACAAGAGACACGUACAUCUUUACAGUCCAGCAGUGAGCUGAGCAUGACAGGGAAUCGCUUUCUAAAGAAGAGGACUGUGUCCGCACCUCGAGAGCAGAAGGUUCCUGAGAGAACGUUUGGUAUGAAUGAACGUAAAGAAAGGAGAGUCAGUUUAGACAGCGACGAACAGGACAUGCGAAGACUUCUAGGAGAUUCUUUUAGCUUAUCAGAAGGUUCCUUGCAAAAUGCAGCAAGGCAAAAGAGUCCUCAACCAGUUAAAAAGGUAUUAAAACAGUAAAAUUGUUGUUUGACCCCAGUUUACUCUCAUGUCCUAUCAUUCUUAACCAGUAUGACUUUCUUCUUUUCCAGUUAUACAAGAAGAGCAGUGAAAAGUCCACCAUACCUUCGCCGACUCCUGAAAAACAUGAAGUUCUCACCCAUCAAAGUCUUUCUCCUCCACCCAGCAGGCCUGAGUCACACAUAGUCAGGUUUACUGAACAUUCAGUGUCCUCUGAAACAGAUCACAGUGAGAUCCGGUCUUUGGACGAUCUUUUUCCUGUUGCUGCGGCACCUGAUUCUGAUGAUACUCUGAGUGAGAGGAGUGCAGUAUUGGAUGGUAAAACACCUGUGGAUUCAACAUCUACCAAUCAUCUGGAAACAUUCUUAACUAUUGUUAAAUUUAAUUGUUCACUGUGUUUUAAAAUGUUUUUCUCUUGAUGACCUA
ensembl:lncRNA